rnacentral:rRNA from 1 species
AGAAUUUUUCACAAUGGGGGAAAGCCUGAUGGAGCGACGCCGCGUGGGGGAUGAAUGGCUUCGGCCCGUAAACCCCAGUCAUUUGCGAGCAAAUCUGCCAGUUGAACAAACUGACAGACUGAUAGUAGCGAAAGAGGAAGGGACGGCUAACUCUGUGCCAGCAGCCGCGGUAAUACAGAGGUCCCAAGCGUUGUUCGGAUUUACUGGGCGUAAAGGGUGCGUAGGUGGCAGGGUAAGUUCGGUGUGAAAGCUUCGAGCUCAACUCGGAAACGGCAUUGAAUACUAUCCUGCUUGAGGAUCGGAGGGGAGACUGGAAUUCUCGGUGUAGCAGUGAAAUGCGUAGAUAUCGAGAGGAACACCAGUGGCGAAGGCGGGUCUCUGGACGAUUCCUGACACUGAGGCACGAAAGCUAGGGGAGCAAA